AUUGAACGCUGGCGGCAGGCCUAACACAUGCAAGUCGAGCGAGCGGCGGACGGGUGAGUAAUGUCUGGGAAUCUGCCCGAUGGAGGGGGAUAACUACUGGAAACGGUGGCUAAUACCGCAUACUAUCAGAUGACCCCAUAUGGGAUUAGCUAGUAGGUGGGGUAAAGGCUCACCUAGGCUACGAUCCCUAGCUGGUCUGAGAGGUUGACCAGCCACACUGGAAAUGAGACACGGCCCAGACUCCUACGGGAGGCAGCAUUGGGGAAUAUUGCACAAUGGGCGCAAGCCUGAUGCAGCCAUGCCGGGUGUAUGAAGAAGGCCUUCGGGUGGUAAAGCACUUUCAGCGAGGAGGCGUUACUCGCAGAAGAAGCACCGGCUAACUCCGUGCCAGCAGCCGCGGUAAUUC
rnacentral:rRNA from 1 species